rnacentral:lncRNA from 1 species
CCCACAUCAGCUCGUGUGCUCAAGCCUUCAGAAUCAACGAGCUUGCGGGCUCGGAGGAGUCAGUCAAACGGAAUGGCGAGCUGAGAUUAGCCCGUCUGGCCCAUUCGGCCUAACCCACCAUUCAUUCUGAGGAGGGCGAGUGCCCAAGAUCCCCCAACACAGCGAAGUCUCGUCUCGCGCGGCCGAAAAAUCGACAGCGCGAGCGAGCGCCGCCUCCGGCCCCAGGCGACGGCUGUAGCUUUUGUCGUUUUCGUUUGUAUCCGACCACCUCGCGUCCGGCGCUCUGCCAGACCGCCUUGUCACCAGCAACCCCCACCCUUCCUCUUGUGGCCAUGGGCGAAGGACAAAAAUAUGUUGAGGUAUGGCAAAUUUGUAUAACGGACAAAUAACAUUCAAUAUUUAUUUUAUGAUUGCAAAAUGUAUUUUAAUGUGUUUGGUUUGUAUUUUUUUUAUACUUCUUUAUAAUGUUUUGUUUUUAACAUUCCAUUUUUCAAUGGGUUUAAUGCAAAUAUAAUGUCACAUCGCAUACAAUUAUAAACUGUCACUACGCCAGAAUGGGUCAUUGGCGCACGAGCUCCAG